UCAUCUCAUGAAAAAUGGGAGCAAAAACAAAAGUGUUGCGUUUAUAUUUUUGUUCAGUGUAUAUACAAAAUCCCUACAUUGUUCACUUAUUCAACAGGAUAGGUCAAAUUAUUUAUAGUGGGGCUGUAUGAGGUACUUAUCGUACUUAGUGUAUUAUUUAGUUUUAACUUAGUUUUUUGGAGUGCACACACGGAAGCUGCAAUGUUCUGCUGUGGACGGGGGCAGCAGCAAAACAUACUUUCGGCCCCUAAAAUAAUCAUUUUAAGUUUAUGUGUACACUAUAUUUAGAACAUUUCAAUUGUUUUAUAUUAUCAGACAACCCUAUCAGGCAACCCUAUCUGACGGGGAACUGAAGCUGAUAUAUAUGCUUCAUCUUCUCCAAUUCCAUUGAUAAAUAUUGUAAUUUUACCUUGCAGAACAGAGGAGGUUGUCUACAGCUGCUUGGUUGGUUAGUUUACAUUAAUGUGUGACUUUGGGGAAUUUGUACUUUCCAAAAUCACACCAUAUUAAUUUCAAACUAGGCGAUGUAGGUAGCAGUAUACCAGUGAUUUUCUUGAUCUUCAAAGUAAAAAUACAGUUUUUUGUCAAUAGAGGCAUGGCGGCUUUUAACAAAGCAUAAAUAGCAGCUGCAGGUAGAUGUAAUACAUUUAGCUGCUGCCCCACUUACAGAGAAAUACCCACAUCGGUCGGUAAGUACCUCAUAUAACCCCACUAACACCUUUUAGAGAAUUUAGCCAAACCAGGAGACAUUUUGCAACUAAUUUAGAUAUAGACUAACCACACUUUCAAACAAAGAGACAAGCCCAAAACAGGAAGAUGAAGUUGUAUUUAGCCUUGUAGGGCGGGGACAUUGGUGGAAGAAAUAGGAAACUAAAAGAUUUUUUUUUACUGGAGGUGAAAGACUCACAUUUCUGAUUUAGCAUGCUGCUUCUGGAGCUGAGUCACGCUUAGCAUGCUGGCUUCUCCAUGCUGGCUUCUCCAUGCUCAUCUGCACAUGGCUCUGAAUUAAAGAGGCUGGAUACUGUAUGCAGCAUACAGUGGAGAUUCCAAACGCAUAUUGUCAUCCAAACAACUCAUAUCACUAUAUACUGCAUAGUAUAUAAGACAUUUUACAUAACUGUGUGGAUAUGAGUUGGUCACAAAUAACUUCUAGUUGUUUAUUAUUGAGCAUUUCAGCUAAAUAAACAACUACCAUUUGCCAGAUUCAGGAGGGGAUUAGUUAUUUAGAAAAAGUACAAGUACCUCAGUUUCCAGGACAAUCAUUCCCGUGUGGAUUUACUUAGCCUACAUUAUUGUGUUUGCGGUAAAUAACUUUUAAAUACAGCUGUUAAAUAACUCUUUUCAUGUUUUUGCCCUUGCCUAAUCUAUUGCACGUUUGUACAACAACAAAAGUGUGAACACCAUAGCACCUGCAUUUCUCCUCAACAACCUAAACAACGGCUCUCACUCCCAGUCAGCCUCCUCUCACUCCCACCCAGUGGUCCCUCUGUCACAAUCAGAACUACACAAAUAUUCACAUUUUAUCCCUUUUGUCGGAUUUAAAUGGUCUGUGAAGCUUAAAUCUAGACUGUAGUUUUGACGUGUUCACUGACUCGGUGUCUCCUUCUGAAGGUGUAUCCCUAUGAAAUGCUCAUGAUAACCAGUAGAGGGAGAGCUAAACUGCCCAGGGAUGUGGACAGAACCAGACUGGAGCGCCACUUAGCACCCGAAUUGUUCUUUGACAUCUUUGGAAUGGAGGUCCAGGAGUUUGACAGGCUUCCCCUGUGGAAACGCAACGACAUGAAAAAGAAGGCCAAGCUCUUCUAGCACUCAGAGCAGCAUGCGCAUACUGUACAUUCAUCCAGAUAGCACACAACAAACUGUAAUCUAGAUGUAGGUUUUUGGGUUUAUUUCCUUUUUCUUCUGGAUUAUUUUUGUUUUAUCCUGGCAUAAUUCAAGGAAGCCACAAGAUGGACUGAACUUCUUUUGUUGCUCUGAAGCUUCCUGAGACUGUGAGCUGAAGGAUUUGUCCAGUUAGACUUGCACAGGAAUCAAGGAAUCUUUUCCAUGUUCAAAAAUGACAAAGAAUGAGAAUGAUUGAUAAAUAGGUUCAUGUUAUUUGGUUUGACUGCGCUUGUUUUACUUCUUGCUUUGCUUCGAGUGGAACGGCUUUCCUUUCUUUCUUGCUUGUUUCUUCCUACUAUUUGUUGCUGUUGAUUCCUGUGGAACUUUGUAAGUACGGUAGACCUCAUGGCGCCAUUACCAAAUGUCCAUGCUCGUAGCUUGAACAUGUGUCCGCUUUCCCAACGCUUGGGCUGAAGCUGAUUUUGCCCAAAGUUCGCAAGAAUCGGCUCAAUGAGUCUUUGAAUAAAAUAAAUAAAAAAGCCACAGGGAAAGCAGUGAGCGGACCCAUCAACUGUUUUACCAGAUCUCAAUGGAAACCCCAUACACAUUGCCAGUCCCCUCCCCUUGCUUCUGUAGAAUCCAAACAUCCAUCUGACCCUGACAAAAAGAAAAUGUCUCUCUUCUCAGGCUCUCAUAAACAUGGCCAGACACAUUCCCUUUUACAUGUAUUGGAAGUACAAAUCUUAAAUAUAUUUUAGUGCCGUAUCCAAAAUACAGUAACCAACAAAUAUAAAAAAACACUCAAUGUGAGAAUCAACUGUAUUUGGAAGUACUGUUUUAUAAAUGAAAAACCCACACUGCCAUUUGUUGUAUUGAAAUUUAAGCCAAUAAAGCUUUAAAUCACCAUGAACCAUAUGAUCCUCA